CAGGAUUAUGAGAAAGUAAUUGUGCAUUGAAAAUUUUAAGUUGCAUCUGAAGAAUUUUUAAGAGAAGCUUUGCAGAAAAAUUGAAAGGUUUCCUGCUUCUGAAAUACUACUGAAAUAAAACCAGAAGAUAAUUUAGAUUGGAGACGACCUCUGGAGCUCACCUGGUCCAAACCCUGUCAAACCAACUUUGAAGCUGGAUCUAAUUUCAAAGUUUGAUGAACUCGCUUAUUAUCUUCUUUGACUGAUUUUUUAAUAUUUGAAGACAGAUUCAACAAGCAUUGUGUGACCCAGUUGUGGAUUAUGAGCAGCAGCAGCAGCAUCAGUGAUACGCAACACUGCACUUCUGGAUGAUGUAUCAGAACCAGAUUAGUCAAACAUCCCUAUGUGAUUGUGCAAGUAUGUACUGACAUCUGGUGGACGUUUGACCAAACACUUCAAUAAACCAUUGCAACUACAUAAUGCUUAUUCAAAAAAAGUACUUACAGUGGGUUUCAUUGUAUUAGUUCUGAGUGAUUUU